CCUACGGGGGGCUGCAGUGAGGAAUAUUGGGCAAUGGGGGCAACCCUGACCCAGCAAUGCCGCGUGCAGGAGGAAGCCCUUCGGGGUGUAAACUGCUUUUAAGGGGGAGGAGCAAGGACCGUACCCCUUGAAGAAGUCACGGCUAACUACGUGCCAGCAGCCGCGGUAACACGUAGGUGGCGAACGUUAUCCGGAAUUACUGGGCGUAAAGGGUCCGCAGGCGGAGGAGGAGGUCUGAUGUGACAGCCCGUGGCUCAACUACGGGAAGCCAUUGG
rnacentral:rRNA from 1 species